CAGUCGCCGGGUAAUACGGAGGAUCCAAGCGUUAUCCGGAAUCAUUGGGUUUAAAGGGUCCGUAGGCGGUCUUGUAAGUCAGUGGUGAAAGCCCAUCGCUCAACGGUGGAACGGCCAUUGAUACUGCAGGACUUGAAUUAUUGGGAAGUAACUAGAAUAUGUAGUGUAGCGGUGAAAUGCUUAGAGAUUACAUGGAAUACCAAUUGCGAAGGCAGGUUACUACCAAUUGAUUGACGCUGAUGGACGAAAGCGUGGGUAGCGAACAGGAUUAGAUACCCCUGUAGUCCCUGUCUCUUAUACC
rnacentral:rRNA from 1 species